rfam:Aureimonas altamirensis strain ON-56566 NODE_1, whole genome shotgun sequence.
GCCCCAUGUCGCACGUGCCUGUGGGCGUCCCCCGGUCCUCAUAUGCGAGGGUUGCCGGGACGGUACCUGGAGUGAUCCUCCAGUUGGUUUUGCUGCUCGCGAAAUCAUGGACGCCUUGAAGCAACGACGGUCCGGGCCUUU